GUGCCAGUGAGAAAGAUUUAUGCCUAGGUUGGUUUCGCUCGGGUAUAAAAACUACGACUUGGUCAACAAAAAACGAAUUGCCGUAUGCAAAUCACGCAGUUCGAAUAUUACAGACGGAGACGCAACAACUUCAACAAGAUGCACAAAGAAGGAACCAGAUGAUCCUCCUGAUUGCCAAUCAGGAGCAAAUGGAUAUCCAGCGCUUGGAGCAGAGCAACCGCGUCUCCGGGCGGCUGCAGUCACUCUACAAUCAACACACCUGACGCUGAUGAGAUCCCUGCCUUCAUAAACCAGUGCGUCCUGCGUUCCAGUGCCAGAACGUAGCUACUUGUACCAGUACACAGCCCUUCGUCAUCCUCUGGUUUCGAUCUGUGUGUCUCGUCUCCCCGGAUCCCCUCUGGACUUCCUGCUGCCUUCUCGGAUCUAAACCUCACGCCUGCCCCCCGGACAACGACGCCUCGCUCCAGCCCCUGACGACUUGCCUGUCCCCGGACAUCUAAGCCCGCCUUGCACUUUCUGGACUUCCGCACCGAUCUCAACCCGCACCUUCAACACCACCCGGUAACACUCCACAUAU